GACGCGAAACGGCCAUAUGAAAAUUUUCAUUUCUCUGAAUCUGUGAGGAGAGGUGUCGCCAUCGACGUUGGCUGCUGGGGUUUGUGUUUGUCACCGUGUUCUCUUUUGAAUUGUGUAUUUCCCGAAGCGGUCGUCACCCUUCUCCGAAGUUGCAGCGGAGAUCCGUGCAAGUGCAGUGCGUUCCAUUAAAAAUUUGCUCGUUUAUCGCGUUUUCACGGAACGAGAAGCCGCGCGCCGUGUACACAACGAAAAAAUUCUGAAUGAAAAUUUCCUGUCGUGCGCCCGUGCCUCGCUCCCCCAGUGCGAGCGAUCGCGUCCAGUGUUUUCUUUUAUCGAUUCCCGAGGAAAAUUUGUUUGUUCUCGAGUUUCGCCGCGUUGUUGGUGUUUUUGAUGUGUUCUACUAAGGGAGAGGCGGGCGUCGCUUGUGGCGUGGAUUGGGGAAGGAAUUAGGUUGUCGGAAGUUCGAAAUACGGACUGGAUAAUCAGUGCCCACUCCCAGAGUCGGUCGGCGAUUCGCGUUCCAGGAGUUCUCGCUAGAAGGCCACCAUCGUCGAGCAACUCCACUGACUUUGACAGGAGCCCGGGUCACAGCUUGACGAUUGCCAAGGAGACAUUUGCCGCGAUUCUUGGGACAAAUUCGGUUUGGACCCAGUCCCGCUGAGCCCACUUGCAUCGGAACGUGAGUGCCGCCGACUCGACCAGUCGCUGACCGUUUUCCUACCACCAGUGCAGGGGCUCCCUAUUCAGGGCAUGUAUUUUCUACUUGCCCCUCCGCCCGCGACCGACGUUUUGAGCCCAUUCCAAUUGGAAAUUCAGUAGAAAGCGGAGUAAUUGUGGGCAACGUCAAUUGAAGCGUGAAAUCCAGUCGCAGGUGAAUCGCGAGUCGGGAAGAGUUACAUAAGGCGGGUGAAGGGAAGUGCGUGCGGAUCGGGUCGCGGAUUCACGGUGCCCGUGCGAACUUCGAACACGUUGCCUGCUCCUUAGCCCCGCGGGCAUGAACGGCUUGGCUCGCAGUUGAUUUGCGUUUUCUCUUGCGCCGUCCCAAAGUUCCGUUGUGCAAUCUACAGUUUCCGUGCGGCGAUUUGUCAAAUUUUCCAAAUUUCUCCGCUCGCAGAGCAACGGAACGAGCUUGUGUUUCGCGGUUUGCAUUCCUAAUUAAUCGCUAAUCCCAGAAGAAUUUAAGAAAGAUUCAAGUGCGGUGAGAAGAAAUACAUUGCAAAGAAACGAGUGCUGUCAAGUGUUACGUGUUCUAGUUUCGUCGUGUUUUUUUUUUAUCUUUAAUUGGUUACAGCUGCGGAAGCUAUUUCGUUGAGAGGAAGGCACAGGUUGCGGUUUUGGUUUCAACCGCUGUGCACGGUGAGCGAUCGCCAACCAAGGUGCUUGGACGCCUCCAGUUCCAGACCAGAUCCGCCGCCCACCUUCCAACCAGCCGUCGUGCAGUGCAUGUUAAAGUCAGCAAGUUGGGAACGACACCAGCCAGAACCACGAGAAGAACGUUGCCAGUGAAUUGCGAGUAAAUGCAGCCUUAUAUGGAGUAAAGAAAUUUUCCUUCUGAAGUUUGCUCGCAUCUAUAAAAAUGCAGAGCGUUGGUAACGGCAAUCGUGCCAUAGUUUACGAUGGUAAAAUAGCUGGUCUUUAUGAUUUAGAAGAAACAUUGGGAUCAGGCCAUUUUGCUGUUGUGAAACUUGCCAGACAUGUUUUCACCGGCGAAAAAGUAGCUGUUAAAGUAAUCGAUAAGACUAAAUUGGAUGAAGUAUCUAGGGCACAUUUAUUUCAAGAAGUUCGAUGCAUGAAGCUAGUGCAACAUCCAAAUGUGGUUCGACUCUAUGAAGUUAUAGACACACAAACCAAACUCUACUUAAUAUUAGAAUUAGGCGAUGGGGGUGACCUUUAUGAUUACAUUAUGAAACAUGAAGGCGGUCUAUCUGAAAAUUUAGCUAGAGAAUAUUUUAGGCAAAUUGUGCGGGCAAUAUCGUACUGUCAUCAGCUACAUGUUGUACACAGGGAUCUCAAGCCCGAAAACGUUGUGUUUUUUGAAAAACUAGGUGUAGUUAAAUUGACUGAUUUCGGUUUUAGUAAUAAAUUCUGUCCCGGCCAAAAAUUAGAAACAUCAUGCGGUAGUUUAGCAUAUUCAGCACCUGAAAUUCUCCUCGGUGAUUCUUAUGAUGCACCGGCUGUUGAUGUCUGGUCACUAGGCGUAAUUCUAUAUAUGCUUGUUUGUGGUACUCCACCAUUCGAGAAAGCCAAUGAUUCGGAAACGCUUACAAUGAUUAUGGACUGCAAAUACACAAUGCCAUCGCAUGUGUCGGUUGGUUGUCGCGAUCUGAUAGCAGCUAUGCUUGUUCGUGAACCUGAGAAACGCGCCACCUUGCAAGCAAUCGCCCAAAACAGCUGGUUAACGCAAGGUGCUCAAGAUACUGUGCCCGAAUAUUUGCCACUUGUGAGUCGUCAACAAGUUAGUGAUGAAGAUCAUACGCUUAUUAUUCAAAAGAUGGUGAAUGGUAACAUAGCUACCAAAGAGGAGAUUCUAGAUGCCUUAGAUCGAAAUGAAUAUAAUCACAUCACUGCUACGUAUUUCCUCCUUGCCGAACGUAAACUUCGACAACAGCGACAAGAUCAAAUUCAAAAACGUCGUCCAGAAUUGUCCUUGCCCGUAUCGUCCACGUCCAGAUUAUCACCGCGCACUCGAACUGCAGCAAACAGUACUGAUCGAGAAUCGUCGGGAGAUAGUCGAAAUCAUUUAUUAGUACCUAGCAAUAAUCAACUUACUCCAAGAACGCCUGGUGCGGAAUCGACUGCUGGCGGUCGAAGCCGAAAAUGUAGUAUUGUGCAAGAGGAGGACGACGAAGACGAAAUACCAAGUUCGAAUCGCGAUGAGCUUCAAACGCCACUAAAUAGACGAGGUUCUCGUUCGGAAGGUCGUAUAAAUUUAGCUAUACAAGAUCGCGUCCCUGAAGCAGAAAGAUUAAAAAAGGAGUCAACGAAUGCUCCAACUAAUUCAUCAUCAACAAAAGCCAAUUUAGAGACUGGAACAAACGUAGAAUAUCUUAGCGGUGCGACCGGUGGUCUGAAACCAAUCAAUAAGGAUCUAAUCAAUAUGAGAAACCGUCUAGGAGGCGUAAGCGGCGGAAUAUCUAGAAAAUUAGUAGAAAAUAAUAGAUGUAAGGAACAGCUACUAUUGAAUAGUAGUUCAAAUAAUUGUAGUAAUAACAAUAGUAAAUUAAAUGAUAUCGGACAGAGAUCUAAUUCAGUAGAUCACCAAAAUAUCGAGACUGAACAACAUCAUCGUGCAGAUGUGACGCAAACCAAAUUUCUAGUCGAUUCGUCGACUAUCACAAUUCCCAUAAGUUCGGCGACAUCACAAACCUCGUCGUGUACAAACGCAAUUCCAAAAUAUAAAACAAUGCCAUCGCCAACGAGACCAAAUGCAAUAUUAACAGGAGGAGCACGUGCUCUCAAUGAGAUUUUCGAGGAGGGUACAGAUAUUGGUUCCUCCGAUAGUGCAACUACAACACCCCGUCCAGUUGUUCGAAGUUCACACUUCACGAGCAAUCGGGCAAAUCAGAGUAAUCCGACUACACAACGGCGAUCAAAAUUCCACAAGAGUCGAACACCAUCGUGUAGUAGUUCGGAUGCAUCCGAUGAUGACUCGGAAUCACGAAAAAAGCGUGUUCACAAAAUUAACGUAAAUGAUGUAUCAAAACCGCUUCAGAGCCAGCGUCGUGAUUCACACGACGAUUCAAGCGAUUCUCAAGAUCAGGGAACGGCUGCUGCUUCAGGGGGAAAUGGUUCGUCGUCGGGUAUGUACCUUCUUCCGGCCGCGACGACGACUACAACUGGUGAUCGUACCGGAUCGACUACGACCCAUACAACAAACCAAAAUUCUAAUUGUGCAACCCAUGGACGUCAAAAGACUGAUCAGCCUCCAAUCGUUUUCCGGCGGCAUCGGGCCGGACGACGAAGGGCGGGCGAGACUCGCUUACGGGAGAGCCAAUCGCUGAACCGUAUAACCGAAGUUCAAGAGUCAGAAUUACCGCCAGUUAGUAAUUCCACUUCCAGCCAGUUGCAUAGCAGCAACAACAAUAAUAACAACAUGAGCAAUAACAGCCACAGUGCAAUGAAUAGCAGCAUGCCGGCGUCGAUGAUGCAAGCGGCAACUCAUGUAAAUUGCCACCAAAAACCAAAGGGAAUAAGUGCACGUCUGUUCCACGGAUUUAUCAAGAAAGCCGAUGUCAUUCAAACACCAUUGCAUGAUAGCACGAGUACGGUUACGAUAUCGCCUGAUCCUGGGUCAAAUGACGAGGUUGAUAUGGUGUUGGGAAUGGAUUUCACGAAGAACUCUCUGCGUGUGAACGAAUCAAAAAGUUCAUCGGCUACGAAGAAGUUAAAGAUGCUUGGCCGAUACUUUCAGCGAAACCGAAGAGAAUUAUGUGAUUACUUGUGCAAAGUUCUACAAGAGUUAACGCUUCGGAGUCUAAAAUAUUAGAAUCUAUUCCAAAAGUGUCUUUUGAGAGGAAAGGAAAGUGAUGCAGAAUCCGAUAGAAAACUUUGGGUUCAUAAAAAAAUCUGCAUUCCUCUACCAGGCUUAUUUCAACGCGGUCGGCUUUACAAGGCUCAAUCGUGUGGAUCCAUUGUGCGAGACAAAGUGAAUCAUAACAUCCAUAGUAACGCGCCACCGAACACAAC
rnacentral:misc_RNA from 1 species